rnacentral:snoRNA from 1 species
CACCUAAGGCGAUGGGCGGACUGAAUGCGAAUGUGCAAUCGCUCAAAUCCUGUUGAGAAAUGCCUUUCAGAU